rnacentral:tRNA from 1 species
GUCUCUGUAGUAUAUCACAUUACCCUGGUCUUGUAAACCAGAAAAGAGGAACAACACUCCUCCAUAGACUC